AUAUAUAAUAAGAGAGUAGUAGAUGGUUAGUUAGUUGACAAGUGGUGUUUUGUAUAAUAGACAAGUGUUAUUCUUUAUUGCAUGACAAGUGGCAAAAGAACAAAAUCUGAAGAUCUGAAGAUCUAUAAACAAAUAAUUGGCGGGAUUCUGAUUCAAAUUGAAAUUCAAAAUGAUUUUGUUACAGCUGUCUCAUAUAUAUAUUAGUUAAACGGUGAAGAAAGAGAAGAAGGAAAUAAAGAAAGAAAGAAACCCACAGUCAUAGAGAAGAGGGUGGCGACGAACAAAGAAAACGACCGUCGAAGAAAGAAAAGACGACAGAAGAAGAAAACGAAGGUGAAGAAAGACGAAGAAAGCCGGUCGAUGUCGCAGAGAACAAGAAAACGACGGUGAAGAAGGUACGGACGACGGAAGAAGGAGGAGAGCGUGGCGACGAGCGACGGUCACAUAGAAGGAAGCUAAUCGACAAAGAAAAGAAGAGGAAUGAGGCGACGCCGGUGAUGGAGUCCACCGUCGCUGUUGGAUCCGCAGAGCUGCGUCCUCUGCAAGACGGUGCCGCCGCCGUUUCUUCGCCGGUGGGUACUGCGAAUAAAGGAUGAAUGGCGUGCUACACUAAAAGAAGAGAACGGUGAAGGAGCAGCUAGCAGCAAGUUGACGAAGCAAGUUGACCACAUCGGUGAAGAGAACGGUGAGCUUUCAUAUCCUAUCUUGGGCGGUAUUACAGAGGUAACUAGGAGCCAAAAUCAUGUUUAGAAAAUUCACUGAAUUUUGCUGUUGUCAACGAAUAUGGUUGUGAAUGAACUAGACAAGACCUUGCACUACCAAAGAAGAAGCCACUUUCUGAAGGAUGACUUACUACUCUUCUGUCUUCUCCUAGACAUUUGGUCUCAUAUAACCAAUUGCAAAUGGUUGCUUCAAAACUUAUGGCUACAUUAGCAUGUCUCAAGCCGUUUCGUUUCUCAUUAAUUCCAAGCUUGAACGCUUCAUAAAAAUCACCUCAAGAUCAAUGUCUUGCUGUAGUCAGGUGCUGCGAAUGUGAUCAUUACGACGAUGUUGUAACUAGGGGAUUUGGACCCUGAGGUUGACGAAUUUUUGGUUUCCCAGAAAUUUUGUUUGUGCUGCAAAAGGUUUGCAAGUUUUCUAAUUAUAAUUUAGAUUAUAAGUGUGUAAUGAGUUUUGGUGCGCUUUUUGGUCUCUCUAGCAAAGAGGAACAACAAGGGGAAGAAUGGACUUUUGUGAUAUGAACGUCUUCUGUGGGGUUGAAGCCUGAGAUCAGGAACUCUAUUAUGAUUGACAUCAAAAAAAUUUUUUGAAAAACUUUUAUACUCUUUGGAAGUGUUUUGAGUUUUAUUGCUUGAUUAUGCUAAGUAGUACUACUACUAUUCUGAAGUUGAAUCAUUCAAAUUUAACUGAAUUUAGCUCUGAAGACUUGAACUGUCAAAUGGUAACUUGGAAGUUUGGGUAUUUAGAUAUACUAAUAUGUACAUUGUGCUUAUGGUUGUUU